GUUGAUUUUUUAACAUUAAAAUUUAUAAACGACUUCAUAAUACGAGUAACGUUUCGCAAACUGAGUGUUCGUGUCGUAAGAGAGGAAGGGAGGGGGAGCGAGACGAGUGACGGGGAGAGACGAUUGACACUUUGGGCCGAAAAUAUGAGUCAGUUUUUGACUAGACUGAGCGCCGAUUAGCGUGAAUUGUCAAGAGCUUUUUGCUCAUGAGCCUUUCUUUUGCGUUUGUCGAGCUUCUGUCUUUAUUUGUUAUCUUGCUUGCGUGCGUGUCUCGUGCGUGAUUCUGGAAGCGACCGUGCCCAUUACCGGUGAUUUUGGACGGGGCCUCAAAGUGACGACCCCAUAGGGUGUUGCCUCCUUCGGCUUCUUACAGCGGUUGCAAGAUCACCCUGAGGCGGUCACGUACGCUAGUUACAGCUAGGUAACUUUCCGGAGUCAACCCAGUGCAAGGGCUGAACCCGUGAUCGAGACGUUGGUGUACUGGGUUCGCGCGGUCUAGCGCUCGCCUCCCACAACCCGGACAAACCCAUCGUCACCAAACGACUACAAUAUGUGAAACCAUUCCGACAAUCAAGGCGAAUGCGGACAGUACGUGCAACGCCGGAGGACAUACAUGCUUGUGAUAUCACUGUUUUGAACGUACCCGUGGACUGAAUGCAACACCUCGAACGCUGCCCUGGUGGAACUUGAGAAACUUCGGCGUACCUUCUUGUUGCAUCGUGAUGAAUAAUUUUUUUUUCUUUUUCUAUCGAAUACUCAUUGGCCCUUUCCCCAUCGCCGCCGCCGUCGGUGUACUGCUGCCUCUACGAAUGGGAAACGGUUUUACGUUAAUCACUUCAAUAACUUGACUUCAGUGCUUUUUUCCUUUGAAAUCGUAGAAAUAAUAGCAGAAAUGGAGAAAUUAGUGUUUCGAAAAAUAGUAUCAACUUCUUUUUUUAUUUUAAGUACUUUCGUAAUUACAUCUUUCGUAACUCAUUUUCUCAAUAUUAUUCCUAAUAACACUGCUACAAAAUAUUACGUGUGCAAUGGCAAUGUGUAAAAAGUAGAAUGACCAAAGACCGAUUGGAAUUGAAAAACUUAGUUUUUGUGGAUAUUGCAGUAUUCUUAACUUACUUAUUAUCAAGACUUUUUUAUUGAGCGAGUGAUCUUGAUCAAAGUCCAACAAAGUUACGAAACGAAUAAUAAAAAAUUUAAACAUUGCACAUUUACAAGCUCUUAACAACAUAACUUAUUGAAUAAUUUAUAUUUAUUCAUAAACCAUAAGUACAAAUGACGUUGUUGAGUAAAGUGUUUUCUAUAAUUAUCAUAGAAAUUAAUACAAAAAACAAACUGUUUUGUUUGAAAAUUAUUUAACAACAAUGAAUUCCUUAAUGUUUUUUUUUCGAAAACAGCAUUACCUACGUAAUUAAGCCUCUUUCACACUGACACUACAGGUAAAUCGGUUUUCUUAGUUAUCAUGAAUCAAAAUUCUGAAAUAUUAUUGAUUUUAUCAUUAUAUAUUUCGACAGAUAAGAAGAAAUCAAAAUAUACGGCAAUUAACAAUAAAAUCAAAAUAACAGAAAGUGAUGAUAAAAAUAGACAUCUCAUGAGUAAUAUAGGACAAGGGCACCGUUUUUUGUAGCAUAAACUAAUUUGAGGACUUUUUUCAACUAUUCGUGCACGUGUAGUUUGAUUUUAUAAAGGCCAAGAUAAAUAAAAGCAACAUCAGUUACUAUCUGCCAGCUCGAGAAGAAUCUGAAUACUUUUCAAACUUAUUUUUCAAGCAUCAAGUACAUAGAUUCAAGCUCGCUUCUGCGCAAAUAAGAUCAUGCAAACUCUACUAUAAAUUUGUUUCAAUCUCAUCGGAUGAAUCCUAAGAUAGAGUCGAAAAGCCCUGUUUACUAUUUGUUAUCAAUAAACGUUCAAGUUAGACUCUGUUGCUAAGUAGCACCGCGUACAUAAUAAAAAAACUCACGAUAUUUUUCACCGCACAUAUUUUUCUCACAGCAUAUAUACACACAUAUCAACACAAUAUUCGUCUGCACUUUUUUUCUCGCAAUACGGAGCUCCAACAGUACAAACGCUAAGCACAUAUAGCAUAUAUAUAUAUAUAUAUA